rnacentral:rRNA from 1 species
CACGGGGGGAGCAAGCGUUGUUCGGAUUCAUUGGGCGUAAAGAGCGCGUAGGCGGCCCGUUAAGUCGGAUGUGAAAACCCGUGGCUCAACCACGGGCCUGCAUCCGAUACUGGCGGGCUCGAGGCAGGCAGGGGAGAUCGGAAUUCCUGGUGUAGCGGUGGAAUGCGCAGAUAUCAGGAGGAACACCGGUGGCGAAGGCGGGUCUCUGGGCAGUAACUGACGCUGAGGAGCGAAAGCGUGGGGAGCGAACAGG